rnacentral:misc_RNA from 1 species
UCCGAGUUGACCCCGGCAGUCUCCUAUGAGUCCCCACCACCCCGAAGGGCGUGCUGGCAACAUGGGACGGGGGUUGCGCUCGUUGCGGGACUUAACCCAACAUCUCACGACACGAGCUGACGACAGCCAUGCACCACCUGUGAAAGUGUCCCGAAGGAAGACCGUGUUUCCACGGCAUUCCAGUGCAUGUCAAGCCUUGGUAAGGUUCUUCGCGUUGCGUCGAAUUAAACCACAUGCUCCGCUGCUUGUGCGGGUCCCCGUCAAUUCCUUUGAGUUUUAGCCUUGCGGCCGUACUCCCCAGGCGGGGUGCUUAAUGCGUUAGCUUCGGCACGGACGGAGUCGACACCGCCCACACCAAGCACCCAUCGUUUACGGCGUGGACUAC